UACGUAGGAUGCAAGCGUUGUCCGGAUUUACUGGGCGUAAAGCGCGCGCAGGCGGCACUCUAAGUCCGUCGUGAAAUAUCCCGGCUCAACCGGGAGGGUGCGAUGUAGACUAGGGAGCUAGAGGUCGGUAGAGGGGGGUGGAAUUGCUGGUGUAGCGGUGAAAUGCGUAGAGAUCAGCAGGAACACCCGUGGCGAAGGCGGCUAUCUGGGCUGCAACUGACGCUGAGGCGCGAAGGCUAGGGUAGCAAACAGG
rnacentral:rRNA from 1 species